rnacentral:rRNA from 1 species
CCCUUAGAUGUUCUGGGCCGCACGCGUGCUACACUGAGUGGAUCAGCGGGUCAGGUUGCGCGAAAGUGUUUCCUAAUCUUGAAAUCCGCUCGUGAUGGGGAUUGACGGUUGCAAUUUUCCGUCAUGAACGAGGAAUACCUUGUAAGCGCGGGUCAUCAUCCCGCGCUGAAUACGUCCCUGCCCUUUGUACACACCGCCCGUCGCUCCUACCGAUUGAGUGGUCCGGUGAGGCUUUGGGAUCUGAGCGGAAAGAGCGUUUCGCUGUAUCUGCUCGGAAAACUCAGUCGAACCUUAUCAUUUAGAGGAAGGAGAAGUCGUAACA